AAUUCGCCCUUGAGCACGUAGGUGGGUUUGUAAGUCAGAUGUGAAAGCCUUCUGUUCAACGGAAGAAUUGCAUCUGAAACUACAAGUCUUGAGUGUAGGAGGGGAGAAUGGAACUUCUGGUGGAGCGGUGAAAUCCGUAGAUAUCAGAAGGAACGCCGGCGGCGAAAGCGAUUCUCUGGCCUAUUACUGACACUCAGUGUGCGAAAGCUAGGGGAGCAAACGGGAUUAGAUACCCCGGUAGUCCUAGCCGUAAACGAUGGGCACUAAGUAGAGGGGAUUACCGACGUUCUCUCUGCCGUAGCUAACGCAUUAAGUGCCCCGCCUGGGGAGUACGGCCGCAAGGCUAAAACUCAAAAGAAUUGACGGGGGCUCGCACAAGCGGUGGAGCAUGUGGCUUAAUUCGAUGCAACGCGAAGAACCUUACCGGGGCUUGACAUGGUAGAAGUAGGAACCCGAAAGGGUAACGAACGGUAUCCAGUCCGUGACUAUCACAGGUGUUGCAUGGCUGUCGUCAGCUCGUGUCGUGAGACGUUGGGUUAAGUCCCCUAACGAGCGAAACCCUUGUUUUUAGUUACCAGCGGGUUAUGCCGGGUACUCUAGAAAGACUGCCGUCGUCAAGACGGAGGAAGGUGGGGAUGACGUCAAGUCAUCAUGGCCCUUAUGCCCCGGGCUGCACACGUGCUACAAUGGUCGGUACAAACGGAAGCGAAGCCGAGAGGUGAAGCGAAUCCAAGGGCGAAUU
rnacentral:rRNA from 1 species